rnacentral:lncRNA from 1 species
GAUCAAAAGCGCGCAUGGACGGCCCAGAUCUCACAAGUGCGGACAGCUCAAAUUGAAUCACGUAUGGACGGCCCCGAUCGCAUCGCAAUGGACGGUCCAGAUUUAUUUCUAAUUUAAUCGCGAUCGGAUAGCCCAGAUUAAAUCGUGAUGGACAGCUUAGAUUAAAAGGAAAAGGUUAUAAAUAACCUCAUCCACACCCAAACUCAAACCCUAGCUGCCAGAGCUCUCGCUGGAGAAGACGACCCAGCC